GUAGGUGGCAAGCGUUGUCCGGAAUUAUUGGGCGUAAAGCGCGCGCAGGCGGUUCUUUAAGUCCGAUGUGAAAGCCCACGGCUCAACCGUGGAGGGUCAUUGGAAACUGGAGAACUUGAGUACAGAAGAGGAAAGCGGAAUUCCACGUGUAGCGGUGAAAUGCGUAGAGAUGUGGAGGAACACCAGUGGCGAAGGCGGCUUUCUGGUCUGUAACUGACGCUGAGGCGCGAAAGCGUGGGGAGCAAACAGGGAUUAGAUACCCUGGUAGUCCACGCCGUAAACGAUGAGUGCUAAGUGUUAGGGGGGUUUCCGCCCCCUUAGUGCUGCAGCUAACGCAUUAAGCACUCCGCCUGGGGAUACGGCCGCAAGGCUG
rnacentral:rRNA from 1 species